rnacentral:rRNA from 1 species
UACGAAGGGGGCUAGCGUUGCUCGGAAUCACUGGGCGUAAAGCGCACGUAGGCGGAUUUUUAAGUCGGGGGUGAAAUCCUGGAGCUCAACUCCAGAACUGCCUUUGAUACUGGGAAUCUCGAGUCCGGGAGAGGUGAGUGGAACUGCGAGUGUAGAGGUGAAAUUCGUAGAUAUUCGCAAGAACACCAGUGGCGAAGGCGGCUCACUGGCCCGGUACUGACGCUGAGGUGCGAAAGCGUGGGGAGCAAACAGG